UACAGAGGGUGCAAGCGUUGUUCGGAAUUAUUGGGCGUAAAGCGCGUGUAGGCGGCUUUGCAAGUCGGGUGUGAAAGCCCUCAGCUCAACUGAGGAAGUGCGCCCGAAACUGCAGAGCUUGAGUGCCGGAGAGGGUGGCGGAAUUCCCCAAGUAGAGGUGAAAUUCGUAGAUAUCGGGAAGAACACCCGUGGCGAAGGCGGCUCUCUGGGACGGUACUGACGCUGAGACGCGAAAGCGUGGGGAGCGAACAGG
rnacentral:rRNA from 1 species